rnacentral:rRNA from 1 species
UACGUAGGGGGCAAGCGUUGUCCGGAAUCAUUGGGCGUAAAGAGCGUGUAGGCGGCCCGAUAAGUCCGCCGUGAAAGUCCAGGGCUCAACCCUGGGAUGCCGGUGGAAACUGUCGGGCUAGAGUCCGGAAGAGGCGAGUGGAAUUCCUGGUGUAGCGGUGAAAUGCGCAGAUAUCAGGAGGAACACCGGUGGCGAAGGCGGGUCUCUGGGCCGAAAUUGACGCUGAGGAGCGAAAGCGUGGGGAGCAAACAGG